rnacentral:lncRNA from 1 species
CAAGACCCAAAAAGAAACAAAAAACACUCCCUCUCUCGGCUCUCUCCCUCAAAAAAAAAAAAAGAACAAAAAAAACGGAAGAAAGCUCCGUCACUCUCUCGCUCUCUCGGACUUGGGCAGAAGAAAAAAAAAACAGAGAAAAAGAAAAAACUCUCGCCUCACCCUCGGCUCUCCUCUCUCCCAGUAUUUCCACAACACCCUUGCAGACAACAAAAGGGAGGCAGCGACUGGUUGGGCUAUUGGAGCUUGGCAAUCUCAUCAAAAACUUUGGCCAAGGGACUAAGCUCUUGAUUGAGGUAUUUCUUGUCUUUUUUUUCCAGCUUUUCUUUUUUUUUUUAAUUAACUAGAUUAAAUGUAUG